rnacentral:rRNA from 1 species
CGGUAAUUCCAGCUCCAAUAGCGUAUACUAAAGUUGUUGCAGUUAAAAAGCUCGUAGUUGGAUUUCUGCGGAGACGGAGCGGCCGGACGCAACUUGCGUCUCGAGCUAGCGCUUUCCCCGCAUCCUGCCGCGAACCGUGCUACCAUUAGCUUGGUGGCGCUGGGGAUCGGCUCGAUUACUUUGAGAAAAAUAGAGUGUUCAAAGCAGGCCACACGCCUUGAAUAAGUUAGCAUGGAAUAAUGACUAAGGACUUUGGUUCUUUUCGUUGGUGUUCGGGACUGAAGUAAUGAUUGAUAGGGACAGUUGGGGCGGUCUGUAUUCCAAAGCGAGAGGUGAAAUUCUUAGACCUUCGGAAGACAAACAGCUGCGAAAGCGUUCCGCAAGGAUGUUCCCUUUGAUCAAGAACGAAAGUUGGGGGAUCGAAGACGAUCAGAUACCGUCGUAGUCUCAACUAUAAACUAUACCAGCUAGGGAUCGGCCAACGUUUAAUUAUUCGACUUGGUCGGCACCUUAUGAGAAAUCAAAGCAUCUGGGUUCCGGGGGGAGUAUGGUCGCAAGGCUGAAACUUAAAGGAAUUGACGGAAGGGCACCACCAGGCGUGGAGCCUGUGGCUUAAUUUGACUCAACACGGGAAAACUUACCAGGUCCAGGCAUAGGAAGGAUUGACAGAUUGAUAGCUCUUUCUUGAUUCUGUGGGUGGUGGUGCAUGGCCGUUUUUAGUCGGUGAAGUGAUUUGUCUGCUUAAUUGCGUUAACGGACGAGACCCCAGCCUGCUAAAUAGCGCGGCCGAGCUUUGCUCGGUGCGAGCUUCUUAGAGGGACCAUGAUGCGCGAUAGCACAAGGAAGUUUGGGGCAACAACAGGUCUGUGAUGCCCUUAGAUGUUCUGGGCCGCACACGGGCUACACUGGCGCCUGCAACGAGCAUAUCAGCUGGCCCGAGAGGGUCUUGGCUAAUCUUUGGAACCGGCGCCGUGCUUGGGAUUGACCAUUGCAAUUGUUGGUCAUGCAACGAGGAAUGCCUUGUAAACGCGAGUCAUCAGCUCGCAUUGAAUACGUCCCUGCCCUUUGUACACACCGCCCGUCGCUCCUACCGAUGAAUGUUCCGAUGAAAUUUUCGGAGAGCGCCGGAGAACGGGGCUCUGCCCUGCAGGACUGGAGGCUCAAAGUCACUUAAAUCUGAACAUUUCGAGGAAGGAGAAGUCGUAACAAGGUAGCCG